UGGGGAAUAUUGGACAAUGGGCGAAAGCCUGAUCCAGCCAUGCCGCGUGUGUGAAGAAGGCCUUAUGGUUGUAAAGCACUUUAAGCGAGGAGGAGGGUACUGGUAUUAAUACUACCAGCUACUGGACGUUACUCGCAGAAUAAGCACCGGCUAACUCUGUGCCAGCAGCCGCGGUAAUACAGAGGGUGCGAGCGUUAACCGGAUUUACUGGGCGUAAAGCGUGCGUAGGCGGCUAAUUGAGUCGGAUGUGAAAUCCCCGAGCUUAACUUGGGAAUUGCAUUCGAUACUGGUUAGCUAGAGUGUGGGAGAGGAUGGUAGAAUUCCAGGUGUAGCGGUGAAAUGCGUAGAGAUCUGGAGGAAUACCGAUGGCGAAGGCAGCCAUCUGGCCUAACACUGACGCUGAGGUACGAAAGCAUGGGGAGCAAACAGG
rnacentral:rRNA from 1 species